UGCGACUGAAUGUCGACAAUUUUAAAUGUGAAGUGCUUGAAAACAACGCCAUUAAAUAAUAAAUAGCAAGGAUAUAAAGUGUUUAACUAAAAUUCCGCAACAGUUUGCUCUGGUUAAAGACGAUUCAUCUUCUAAUAAUCCAAAUAUCAAGAAAUACAGCACAAAACGUCUAUCUAUACCAAAGGAAAUGUUUCUUUAAUUCCAGACGCAUUUUCCUUCCACGGAAACAAGUGUGGAUUUCGAGACCUCCCCGACGAUUUGCUUCAUUCACUAGAUUUACUAAUGUUUGGAGGUCUUCCAGAUGUUCUGCCAGAAUGGCUGAAUCGUCAGCGUAUCUAAUUUGUUGAUUGUUUCUCCGCCGAGUCUUACACCCUCUUGUGUGAGCUUCCUUGAAUAUUUCUUCCGAGUAUAGGUUAAAAAGGCUCGGCGACAGAACACAGCCCUAUCGUACCCCACGUUUAAUGGGCAGUUUUUGAGGAUGAUUGUCUUCAAUUUGGACGGAAGCUACUUGGUUGUAGUACAG
rnacentral:lncRNA from 1 species